GGACGAAAGUUAAAUAUGGACACAGACGUAUGGGGGUGGGGGUCUAAAAGAGGUUCGCUGAAACGAGGGAGCAGAAUUUUGCUGAAGUUGAAUUUAACUUGCCCCUCAGCAAAGUGGGAAACAUUGCAAGGAGUUAGGUAAAGCUGGCUUGGAGGGAAAAAUGAUCAUAAAAUGGGUUAGAUUAAAAUAGGUGAUGGUGUCUUAAGUUUAUUUCUAACUCAAUAUUUUGAUUCCUGCAUUCUACUAGAGUCGAUUUGCAUUAUUCAUAGUUAAAAACAAUGCUUAUUUAUCUCACACAAGUCUUUUGUGCAGCUUAUCACAGCUGCUGUGAGGUGAGAGGCAGGGGACACUAUGGAGGCGGCGCCAGUCUUUUGCUAGCUAACACAGACAACAAUUCACACCUACAGUCAGUUUAGAAUCAUCAACCUAACCCCACUAACUGCACGCUUUUGGGUGGAGUAGCUGGAGAGAACCCACACAGGUGCAAGAAAAACACAAACAGAGCCGUCUCUCUAUCUCUCUCUGAGAGUUUCUACUGCGUAGGGAUCAUCUGUGCAAGCUGAUCCCCAGCCAAACGCCGAGAGGAGGAACAAUUUCAGAGCGUUUCUCAGUUCUUCCAGAGCUUCUGUUUCUCCCGUGGUGCUGCUGAAGCUGCUGGUGCUGGAAGAAGAACGAGAAAUGUUCUGCCUGCCGCCGCCGCACUCCUUCAGCUUGACAAACGGCCUGUUGAGGAGAACACAGAGGAGCAGCCAUCUCAGGUGAGCUCGGAUUGGAUGACGUCUCUGAUUUCACGUCCUGGGACAGUGAGCAGCUCUCUGCAAACUUUUGGUCGCUGCACACAAAAAGCAAAUCCGUUUCUGUGCUGGAGUGGAGACGGGGGAAGAGACCCGAGCGCCGUUUUACAGGGCUCUUCAGGGGAGACUUGGCUGAGAGUACAGGAGGCUGCGGAUCACAGAAUAAAGAAUUUGGCUUCUCUUAGUAUUG